rnacentral:lncRNA from 1 species
GGAUGAAGCUCAGCAGUUUUGGCCGAGUUUCUGGGUUCAAUCAAAUCUUCACAGAUAUGAACUCAGAAACUUAAUGUGAAGCAUCUACUGGGAAUUCACACCGCAGCCUCGAAUGCAAUCAAGCAUUCUCAGGAGGAGUGUUGAAUUGGCACCUUGCACAGCUGCCUGGAGGAAACUCUUAAAUCUCUUCUGCUUCUUCUGAUGUGGUGCAGCUCUUGCAUCCCUGUCCCCCUGUCUAGAACUCAGACUUGGAUAGGAGCAUCUCAGGAGAAGCAUGUAUUUGCAGGAAAAGCUUGUUACUGAGUUAUGGGACUCAGCUGGGAAAGGACCUCAGGAAGCCCCAGCCCAACCUCCUGCUCAAAAUGGGAUCAGCUGUGAGCUGAGGGUUUGGUCCACUUUCCUCAAGCAGAGCAGCAAUUUGCCUUCCUCAUCAAAAGCUACGGGAGGUGAGCAGGAGAAGAGCAGCCCAGCUGGAGGACAGCCUGGAGAUGCAGAGCACCACCCCAGAGCAUCAGCAGCCUGCUGAUUGCUCCUAAUGAGAGAGUGAAAAGCAAGGUGAGAUUCACAAAGCCCUUCGGAGUGCAGGAGGCAUCAGAAAAGUCAUUCAUCUUGCAUUUCCCUCUGCUUCCCUCUGACACGUGAUGAGGUCUAUCUCACCAGUAUGCGCACACAUGGAGCCAGCACAGAUUUACAGCCAAGACAGGUACAGAGGAGUCCAUAUUUCUUCAUAGGAGUUGGAUGACCGUGGAGAGAAGGCUCCCCGGAGAGACAUCUAGGAUGUGGAUGGACGUUACACAUAAAUACAGUGAAAUAAGUUUCCCAUUAGACCGAAACCCAGCAAGGCAGCAUGAAUCACCUUUAACAUGCAUAACUUUCCCUUAUAUAUCACUGCCACUGAAGCAUUAAUUAGCCCAUAACAACCAUCCCCAGACGCUCAGAGAUUUCACUCUUCAGUCUAUGCCUGCGUAACGGCUGGAGGAACAAAGUAAAGGUUUCUGGGUCAGACCACAGCCUGUGUGCUUGGCUCUGAGAAAAGCUGCAGUGAGAGUGCUCUGCUCCUCACGGGGGAAACAACCAAGUAUACUUGGGGCUACAGGGCCCAGGUGAUGGGAUGGCUUCGGAGUUCUGUGUGGCUCCUUGUGCUAUCCAUACGUGCUUUGCCUUGGUGAUGCUGCAUCUGAUGACAGAAUCUGGUAAGACAAGGAGACCUGCUCAGAGUGUGGACAUCUUCCUUUUUUAUUUACUGGCAUUAUACAACUCUACCAAAGGAAAAAAAAAAAAGAUAGGAAGAAAAGAAAUCACAUUAGCUUGCACAGAUUGGUUUGAAUUGGGCUUGCAAUCAGAGAGAGGCAGCAGAAGGAGCCAAGCAAAGCAAAUAAAGAAAAGGUACAAAGCAAAUAAAAGGGCUAUUUAAGAUGGCUGCAUCCCCAACUAAAGCUCCUGGUAUUUGUGCCUGUGCCAGUAGAAAUGGAAGCCAAAAACAGAGAAAGAAAGAGAGCUAAAUGGAGAAGAGAUAUUAAUCCUGAAGUAACUGGGAACAGGUGCUUCAUUUGGGCACUUGGAUGUGAAUGUGCUGCAGUUGGUUGCUCUAUUGACUGGGGAAUUCAAUAACUGAGGCUGGUGCUCUGAUGACAGAGCUCAAAGAAUGAAAACCCAUGUAAAUUAACAGCCAUCCACCAGCCCACGCGUUAUUAAAAACCACAAGUUGUCAAGGCAAGGUCACUGCUCCGGGAGCUUGGGCAAAAGAAUUAAAACCUGAACCUCUUAAAUGUCUUGUGCAGCUCGAGGGGUCUGAGUUGCAACCCUGUGCUUUUCUUCUGCUGACAGGAGGCUGAUGCCUGACCGACUCACUCCUGUGAUGGAAAUGUGUUUGCUGGGCUGUGGCAAGGGAUGGAGGCAAUGUCCAUUCCACUUUCUGCAUCAGGAGGAACGGCCUCGUCCAGCUCCUGCUGCCAUGCAUCAAGCAGAGCUGGUGGGCAGUGCCCGUCCCAGAGCUGGCCACGUAAGUCUGCGAUGAGAGACAAUAGAUGGAGCCAGAGAGACAAAGAAGUAACAGGAGAAAGCUGCAAAAUUUCAACAGGCCAAACGUAUUUCACAGGGGGAAAAAACAAAGCACUGUAAGAACCCACCCACAGACGAGGGAAAACAAACGUGUGCUCACACCGCAAUAAAUAUUGAUGAGUUCCAAAAUUCCACGGGGUAGGGGAACAACCAUUGGUACUCAG